rnacentral:rRNA from 1 species
GUUUUUUUUUCUCAGUCUGAGGAAAAGAAACCAACAGGGAUUGCCCCAGUAGCGGCGAGUGAAGCGGCAAAAGCUCAGAUUUGGAAUCGCUUCGGCGAGUUGUGAAUUGCAGGUUGGCGCCUCUGCGGCGGCGGCGGUCCAAGUCCCUUGGAACAGGGCGCCAUUGAGGGUGAGAGCCCCGUGGGACCGUUUGCCUAAGCUCUGAGGCCCUUCUGACGAGUCGAGUUGUUUGGGAAUGCAGCUCUAAGCGGGUGGUAAAUUCCAUCUAAGGCUAAAUACUGGCGAGAGACCGAUAGCGAACAAGUACUGUGAAGGAAAGAUGAAAAGCACUUUGAAAAGAGAGUGAAACAGCACGUGAAAUUGUUGAAAGGGAAGGGUAUUGCGCCCGACAUGGAGCGUGCGCACCGCUGCCCCUCGUGGGCGGCGCUCUGGGCGUGCUCUGGGCCAGCAUCGGUUUUUGCCGCGGGAGAAGGGCGGCGGGCAUGUAGCUCUUCGGAGUGUUAUAGCCUGCCGCCGGCGCCGCGAGCGGGGACCGAGGACUGCGACCUGUCUCGGAUGCGCCUCACUGGAAG